CUCCGGUGCUGGGAUUUUGAACACGCACCGCCAUGCCUGGUGUAUGCAGUGCUGGGGACUGAGUUCCAGACUCCUGCAUGCUCAGCAAGCUUCCAUUGAAUCUGGACUCUGAGGAAGACGAGCCUGGGGCUGCUGUGCAAUAUGAAGAGACGGCUUUCUUUAACCCUAGGUGUGGUUUUUCUCACGUCACUGAGCUUAUGGGGCUCCUGAGAAGACUGGGCUUUGGGAUCAGUACUUUCUGGGUGUGAACGAGGAAGCAGAUAGUUGGUUGGAUAAAUUCUGGCAACAUGAACAGGACUAGACACGGGUGUUUGCAGCUCAGUCCUCCACUGUGAGACAAGAAUCUCUCACAGUCGCAGCCCAGCGAGGUGUUGAACAAAGGAGGGAGCCUGGAGGCCAAAUGGUGGCUCCCAGGAAAUGCAGACACUCUGGAGAAGUACGGGGUACAUUCAUGCAUCAGAGACGAAGACAGCACAAGCCAGCAAACACGAGGCACGAGGCCAUCCUCUCCUCAGACUGGAUGGGUGCCCCUGUCUGGCCUUUUCUGUGACCGGAGUCUUUUCUGUUGGUGCCAUUCCAACCUGGAUCCUCAUGGCUCAGCCUCACCACCACUAGGAUUACAGUGUGCUCUGCCAGGUGGCUGUGCCUUAGAGUCUGACGUGCUAUCUGACUUCUCAAUAAUAUUCCAGAGAGGCCUCCCAAAGAACACCCACUUGUAAUAAAAGUUAAAGAGCAACAAGAAGUAAAUACCGAGUCUGCAAAUCUGUUCCUCGAUGAUGUCCGAGAACACUGGCUACUUUGUUCAAUUUUUAGACAGGAACAUGGGCAUUUGUCCAAAAUUCCACAUGCAGAAGGGCAACGAUGGGUGCUGAUUUCAUCCAACACAGACUCCUGGGUCUCGGCAGGAGGAGUCUCACCUUGUGUGCGUUUGCAGAGAAGAGUGUACGUGGAGCGACCUGAAGCCUUUUCUUACCUCAUCUUUUAAAGCAAAGCACAA